ACGGGGUGCAGCAGGCGCGAAAACUCCACAAUGUACGGAAGUACGAUGGGGUUAUCUCGAGUGCAGUCCGAUAAGGGCUGCUUUUCCAUAGAGUAAUAUCCUGUGGGAAUAAGAGGGGGGCAAGACUGGUGUCAGCCGCCGCGGUAACACCAGCCCCUCGAGUGGUGGGGACUAUUAUUUGGCCUAAAGCGUCCGUAGCUGGCUGUAUCCGUCUCCCGGUAAAUCCGGCGUCCUAGGCGUCGGUUCUCGGGUGAUACCAUACAGCUAGAGGGUGGGAUAGGUGAGCGGUAUUUCUGGGGUAGGGGCGAAAUCCUUUGAUCCCAGGAGGACCACCAGUGGCGAAGGCUGCUCACUAGAACACGCCUGACGGUCAGGGACGAAAGCUGGGGCAGCGAACCGGAUUAGAUACCCGGGUAGUCCCAGCCGUAAACGAUGCUAGCUAGGUGUUGGGUCGGCCACGCGCCGCCCCAGUGCCGCAGGGAAGCCGUUAAGCUAGCCGCCUGGGGAGUACGGCCGCAAGGCUGAAACUUAAAGGAAUUGGCGGGGGAGCAC
rnacentral:rRNA from 1 species